GAUCAUGGCUCAGGACGAACGCUGGCGGCGUGCCUAACACAUGCAAGUCGAACGGAGUAAGAAUUCGGUUUUUACUUAGUGGCGAACGGGUGAGUAACGCGUGAACAACCUGCCUUCCUGAGGGGGAUAACACCUGGAAACAAGUGCUAAUACCGCAUAAGACCACAGAGGCGCAUGCCUCAGGGGUCAAAGGAGUGAUCCGCAGGGAGAGGGGUUCGCGUCCCAUUAGCUAGUUGGCGGGGCAACGGCCCACCAAGGCGACGAUGGGUAGCCGAGCUGAGAGGCUGAUCGGCCACACUGGAACUGAGACACGGUCCAGACUCCUACGGGAGGCAGCAGUGGGGAAUAUUGGGCAAUGGGCGAAAGCCUGAACCCCAGCAACGCCGCAUGAGGGAAGAAGGUCUUCGGAUUGUAAACCUCUGUCCUAUGUGACGAAGGAAGUGACGGUAGCAUAGGAGGAAGCCCCGGCUAACUACGUGCCAGCCGCCGC
rnacentral:rRNA from 1 species